rnacentral:rRNA from 1 species
UAGGGAAUCUUCCACAAUGGACGCAAGUCUGAUGGAGCAACGCCGCGUGAGUGAAGAAAGGUCUUCGGAUCGUAAAACUCUGUUGUUAGAGAAGAACACGAGUGAGAGUAACUGUUCAUUCGAUGACGGUAUCUAACCAGCAAGUCACGGCUAACUACGUGCCAG